CCAUACUAACCGGGGGAGUAGCGGGUCCUUGUACCUGAAAUCCGCUGUAGCAGGGGCUAAUUCCGUUUUUGAGGGCAUCGGCCGGCUUGUCUGUGCCGUAUGCAGCCGCGUUGAAGAAUGGGUCUUACGCAAUUUGAUGCCGUGAACCAUGUCAGGUGGGGAACCAAGCAGCAUUAAGCGGAAGUUUGAAUGUGCCGUAGGGGUGCCUGUUCCGAGCGGUUGGUACGGUCAACGGGGUUGUUCGUUUGUUCGAUCUUACGGUGUAUGG
rnacentral:SRP_RNA from 1 species